GACGAACGCUGGCGGCGUGCCUAAUACAUGCAAGUCGAGCGGACGGAUGGUAUCUUGCUCCCAGACCGUCAUCGUCGGACGGGUGAGUAACACAUUGGCAACCUGCCUGUAAGACUGGGGUAACUCCGGGAAACCGGGGCUAAUACCGGGUAACUCUUUCCCUCACAUGAGGGAAAGCUGAAAGGUGUCAUCUCGCUAUCACAUACACAUCGGCCGGCGGCGCAUUAGCUAGUUGGUGAGGUAACGGCUCGCCAAGGCGAGGAUGCGUAGGCGUUCUGAGAGGGUGAACGGCCACACGGGGAGUGAGACAGGGCCGAGAGUCCUACGGUAGGAAGCAGUAGGGAAUCUUCCGCAAUGGAGGAAAGUCUGACGGAGCAAAGCGGCGUGAGUGAUGAAGGUUCUCGGAUCGUAAAACUCUGUUGUCAGGGAAGAAGAAGUACCGGAGUAACUGCCGGGAACUUGACGGUACCUGACCAGAAAGCAACGGCUAACUACGUG
rnacentral:rRNA from 1 species